AUUGAACGCUGGCGGAAUGCUUUACACAUGCAAGUCGAACGGCAGCACGGACUUCGGUCUGGUGGCGAGUGGCGAACGGGUGAGUAAUACAUCGGAACGUGCCCAGUCGUGGGGGAUAACGUAGCGAAAGCUACGCUAAUACCGCAUACGAUCUAAGGAUGAGAGCGGGGGACCGCAAGACCUAGCGUGAUUGGAGCGGCCGAUGGCAGAUUAGGUAGUUGGUAGGGUAAAGGCCUACCAAGCCGACGAUCUGUAGCUGGUCGGAGAGGAUGAUCAGCCACACUGGGACUGGGACACGGCCCAGACUCCUACGGGAGGCAGCAGUGGGGAAUUUUGGACAAUGGGCGCAAGCCUGAUCCAGCCAUUCCGCGUGCAGGAUGAAGGCCUUCGGGUUGUAAACUGCUUUUGUACAGAACGAAAAGGCUCUGGUUAAUACCCGGGGCUCAUGACGGUACUGUAAGAAUAAGCACCGGCUAACUACGUGCCAGCCGCCGCAGUAA
rnacentral:rRNA from 1 species